UGGGGAAUAUUGGACAAUGGGCGAAAGCCUGAUCCAGCCAUGCCGCGUGUGUGAAGAAGGUCUUCGGAUUGUAAAGCACUUUAAGUUGGGAGGAAGGGCAUUAACCUAAUACGUUAGUGUUUUGACGUUACCGACAGAAUAAGCCCCGGCUAACUCUGUGCCAGCAGCCGCGGUAAUACAGAGGGUGCAAGCGUUAAUCGGAAUUACUGGGCGUAAAGCGCGCGUAGGUGGUUUGUUAAGUUGGAUGUGAAAUCCCCGGGCUCAACCUGGGAACUGCAUUCAAAACUGACUGACUAGAGUAUGGUAGAGGGUGGUGGAAUUUCCUGUGUAGCGGUGAAAUGCGUAGAUAUAGGAAGGAACACCAGUGGCGAAGGCGACCACCUGGACUGAUACUGACACUGAGGUGCGAAAGCGUGGGGAGCAAACA
rnacentral:rRNA from 1 species